AGAAACCAUGUCUCAAGAAACAAACAACAAGAAGCAACAACAAAAGGAGAGUGAAGCCUGCAGAAAAAUAUUAGGAAAGAUUGGAAUAUUGCUAAAUUGGAAUUAAAAGUCUAUUCCACGUAACAACCCUCUUUUGUGGUCUUCCUGAACUGAGACAUUUAAGGAAGGUCCAUCUUUAGUAAACUCCCAACCACCACUACAAAUGAAGCUCAGUGGUAGAGUGAUUUGCUUAGCACAUGU